GCCUGGGUACUCCGCGGCGCCGGCCGGACCUCUCACUGUCGUUCCGCUUCCGCUGGAAGGCGAGCUGUUCGUGGUGAUGGGAUUGAUGGUGAUGGACCUCGCUGGCUCUGGGUGCUCGACAGUUGUGUGAAGAGGGAGAGUUUCCAAGGCGAUGUAGCAGGAGGCUCAUAGAAAUUUAUCAGCAAUGUCAUGUUGUUUACUGAUUGAUUGAUGUUGUAGGUUGCCAUGCUGCUGUUGAUGCCAUGGUCGGGAGGCAUUCCUCAGUGGUUCCAUCUUCUGGUUUGCAUGCUCCAUCUCCGCCUCGAAGAUGUAUGUCGGUUGCUUCCAUUGGUACUUCUGAUGGGAGAGUUGUUGGGUCAUUUUCUGGUGGAUAAUUUUCCUCUUCUGGAUGGAAUGUGAGUCAGCUGAUAGUCCUGCUGGUGCUAUCAAAAGCAGAACAUAACCUGGUUAUGAAGAACUUGCUUCAUUUUAUUUUAACGCCAUGUCUUACCUUUAGUGAAUCUGAUUAGGGAGCUUUAUGGUGCCAAACAUCUACCACUGCCGCUUAUUCCUUAUGACGGACGGAUUCAGUUAUUAUCUUGGAAGCUCUAAUUGCACAGAGAAAUGGGAAAUUAAUCUGGUUAUUUGGAUUGGCAAUUUCUUAACAACAAGAAACAGUUCCCUCAUAUAUUUUACUUUCUGAAAGAUUAACGUUUUUCCACUCCAGCAUGUCUUCAACUGCCUGUGAUAUUUUUCAUAUUCCUCUUUUAGAGGAGGGCUGCGAUGCUCCUAUUUUAUUAUUUCCAACAAAGCCUUGGUCUCGGAAAACAUCAGGUUUUAGCACCCCGAAGGUAUACGCAAAGUUCUCCCAUGUAUCCUCCCAAAAGUUUUCAUUUGCAAUGGAAAUCAUACAGUGAACUAAACCGUUGUUGUUCUACCUUUUACUUACUGAUAGGCUUAAUACAUGAGGCCUGCUGCAGCGUUAGAAUAUUUUUUUGGAAGAUAACAGAUGUGGAUUUUGCAAACAACUCACAAUUAAGACACGAGAUUAUUUAUUUUUCCAAUACAUGUUUGGUUGGACAUGCUGGAAAUGUAUUUGUUUAGAUUUCACAACUACAGAUUCUAUUCAUACUAUUAUUCGAUAUAUGUUGACCGGUCCUUUUCAUAUGGUUAUCAUAUACAUAGGCUCAUAUGGAAAUGAUUGUGAUUCAGGUGGAUUGAUGUAGGCUGUUAGGUUUGAAUAACUUAUAGACAUGUAUUAUGUAUUAUGGCAUAUUGUUUUAUAUGCGGUGUGCAAUAAAAUCCAGAAUCAUUUGUUAAGAUACGAGCUAGCUUAUAGAUAUUUUUCUUUUAUGAGUUCAGCAUAAUUUUUAUAAGGUUAUCAUCAUACAGAGGUUCAGUGUUGUGAGAAUCAUUUCUCCUUUAAGAGUGUGUUGUCACUACUUUCUUUGAAGAAACACUUCGUCAAGCUUCAUUUUGAGAGUCCAAUGAUCGGUGGAAUGAGACAGAUAAUUAAAACCAUUAAUUGCGGUUGUUGUUCAAACUAUUACGUUUGCUUUAAAGAUAAAAGUCUACAAAGUUACUCCCAUAUGGUCAGAUUAUGUUCUCUUAUUACCUUUUCCAAGUAAAUUGUUUGAAGUUUUGAUAAAAAAUGAUCUGACCUAUCCACACAAGUUUUUGAUUCAUUUGCUUGGUCAUGAUGGCUCUGCUAUGAUGCUAUGAUCUAGAUUCUUGAACACUGAAGACCUCACAGCAUGCGCGAGCAGUAAAGAUAACCCUAUGCACUGGCUUAGAUUGAUCAUUGUUGCGGUGGUUUGUUUUCUCAAUCAGUUCACGCUUGGUCUCCACACUUAUCUUGCAGGAAACUUAAGAAAAUAGAAAUGCAGGCCACUCCAGUAAAAGAUGUCUCACCUCGAUCUCGGCGGAAUGCUCUUUUGCAUCUUUCACAGAUCUUGGAGAACAAGGACCAAGAAUAGAAUGUGUAUGAAUUGGGGUUCAUUGUCGUUGACCAACUGGUAUCUCCUGAACACUCAGUUUCUUGAUCCUCCACGCUGACCUGCACAUGAGAUUCAUGCUGUUAGCUUAGCCAUCUCAUUCAAUUAUCUGCCGAUAUUUACUCAACCUUCAGUAUUUCAUCUGAGCGUUUGAAUUUUUAGUUCCACUGUUAUCAUCUUCAUAUGAAACACCUACAAUUAGACAUGUUCAUCUUCUUUUUUACUAGCUGACAUUACAUAUUCCUUUUUCGGUUUAUUUUUCUUAGUAAACUUUAUUUUGACCUAUGGACAAAGUCGCAUAAGUUUUUGUAGUGUAAACCAUCCGAAGAAUUUCAACUUCCUACAUGUGGCCACACGCUGUCAUGGUUGGAACAUCAGGACCAACACAUUACCAUGUUUUGCACAUGACGAGAUCGGCUUCACUGCCGGGGCGCUUCAGGAGUUCAUGCAUCUGCUUUCUUACCUUACGUACAAUUAGAAGAAACAUAGCCUUGUUUCUCUGUUCUUUCCAGGUACCAGAGGAGCACAAACAUUGACAUUAAUCAGUACGUAACACCAUCUAUUGUAUUUGUCUGGCUAACAAUACCAUCCAUUGUGUUUGUCUCCCUAACAAUACGUAAUAGGUUGGCCAUUCUUUUUUUUUUUGCGGGGAAUAGGUUGGCCAUUCUGUGUACCUAGCGUUCAGUAGGCGGUGUUAAGAACUUACCCCCUGGAUGAUGCUUAUAUGUGCCUAUCUACCUGAACACAGGGAAUGAUCUAAGGAUUCAUUUUAUAAUUGUUGAAGUUUUUCCCAUAUGAGACUUUAUAUGGAAAGCCCUGGCGUAACUAGAAAGAAGGCUAAGUACGUGCAGCUUUAGUAGCAAACCAUCUUUGUUUUUACCAUCGUUUUGUCCCACACAUAAUAACAAGAAGUGGAGAGACUCAGGACCUACCAUUGCGCUAUUGCAGCAACUAAAAAAGGAAGCACAAGAUUUUGAUCUAGAGAGCCAACAAGUCUCACCAAACCUUCCACAAGCAAGCACCUGAAGUGAUGAACCAGAUAAGCUGCUUGCAAGAAAACUGGUGGCUGAACACUGUUGACGAUAAGGGUUAGCAUUAGUAGCAGCAACAACUCCGGUACUGCCUGCACCACUUCUUCUCCGUUGGUAUACAUGAGCUCAAGUAGUCCCAACAAAACAGGAUUAUCACUGAUAGAAUUAACGGCGAGACUGCGAGAGGGCCACCAUCUUCAAGUUGUACAUACUCAUUGUUCACUUUGACUUUGGACUGCGGAACACAUACAAACAAAAAACAUUUGCCUGGUUGUUAAUUGUCUUCACUAAUUUCUGUUCAUUUCA